rnacentral:lncRNA from 1 species
GUGUCAGUCAAGGAGAGCUCAUUAAUAUAAGCUCCCCGACACACAGCCUGUUCAUUCAGGCUUCCUGAUUGUUAGAGAUGAGAGAAAAGCCAGAACCCUGGUUGCCUCUGCCAGGAGGCUGACACUUUGUCUAGGACGCAGACCUCCAUCCUUCUUCUUCACAAAAAAGAAACUCGAGGAGGCGGGUGAAGUGGAGGACCGAAUGAUAAAAUUCCCAGCUGCGCCUGAAUUUCUCAGGUGUAUCUAGAACAUAGGGACACAAUCUUGGAGAAACAAAGGAGUUCCCUUGGAGAGUUCAUCAAUGAGCUUGACGCCUUGAUAAGUUCCCUUCCUGAGGAUGGCUCACCCCUCACAAUUCUGGGUGACUUUAACCUCCUUACGUCUACCUUUGACUAAUUUCUCUCUGCCUCCUUCUUUCCACUCCUCUCCUCUUUUGACCUCACCCUCUCACCGUCCCCCCCUACUCACAAGGCAGGCAAUAUGUUUGACCUCAUCUUUACUAGAUGCUGUUCUUCUACUAAUCUCACUGCAACUCCCCUCCAAGUCUCCGAUCACUACCUUGUAUCCUUUUCCCUCUCGCUCUCCUCCAACACUACUCACUCUGACCCUACUCAGAUGGUAUUGCGCCGUCGCAACCUUCGCUCUCUCUCUCAUGCUACUCUCUCCUCUUCCAUCCUAUCAUCUCUUCCCUCUGCUCAAUCCUUCUCCAACCAGUCUCCUGAUUCUGCCUCCUCAACCCUUCUCUCCUCCCUUUCUGCAUCCUUUGACUCUCUAUGUCCCCUAUCCUCCCGGCCGGCUCGGUCCUCCCCUCCUGCUCCGUAGCUUGACGACUCAUUGCGAGAUCAUAGAACAGGGCUCCAGGCAGCCGAGCGGAAAUGGAGGAAAACUAGCCUCCCUGCGGUCCUGACAUCUUUUCACUCCCUCCUCUCCACAUUUUCUUCCUCUGUUUCUGCUGCUAAAGCCACUUUCUACCACUCUAAAUUCCAAGCAUCUGCCUCUAAUCCUAGGAAUCUCUUUGCCACCUUCUCCUCCCUCCUGAAUCCUCCUCCGAUCCUCAUUUGUUAACCUCUACGUAACAGCCACUGGCAGCCUGUGGCGCGAUUUUCAAAACCUUAAAAAUCCUAUUACUUCAAUUUCUCAAACAUAUGACUAUUUUACAGCUAUUUAAAGACAAGACUCUCGUUAACCUCUUACAUCUAGACGUUCCGCUAGCGGAACACCUGCUCCAAUAUCCAAUGAUGGCCGUGGCGCGAAAUACAAACUCCUCUAAAAUACAAAAACUUCAUUUUUUCAAACAUAUGACUAUUUCACAGCAUUUUAAAGAUAAGACUCUCCUUUAUCUAACCACACUGUCCGAUUUCAAAAAGGCUUUACAACGAAAGCAAAACAUUAGAUUAUGUCAGCAGAGUACCAAGCCAGAAAUAAUCAGACACCCAUUUUUCAAGCUAGCAUAUAAUGUCACAAAAACCCAGAAGACAGCUAAAUGCAACACUAACCUUUGAUGAUGUCCAUCAGAUGACAACCCUAGGACAUUAUGUUAUACAAUACAUGCAUGUUUUGUUCAAUCAAGUUCAUAUUUAUAUCAAAAAACAGCUUUUUACAUUAGCAUGUGACGUUCAGAACCAGCAUACCCCCCGCAAACUUCCGGGGAAUUCGCUAACAUUUUACUAAAUUACUCACGAUAAACGUUCACAAAAAGCAUAACAAUUAUUUUAAGAAUUAUAGAUACAGACCUCCUCUAUGCACUCGAUAUGUCCGAUUUUAAAAUAGCUUUUUGGUGAAAGCACAUUUUGCAAUAUUCUAAGUACAUAGCCCAGACAUCACGGGCUAGCUAUUUAGACACCCGACAAGUUUAGCACUCACCAAUAUCAGCAUUACUAUUAUAAAAGUUUCAUUACCUUUUGUUGUCUUCGUCAGAAUGCACUCCCAGGACUGCUACUUCAAUAACAAAUGUUGGUUUGGUCCAAAAUAAUCCAUCGUUAUAUCCGAAUAGCGGCGUUUUGUUUGUGCGUCCCAGACACUAUCUGAAAUGGUAAAUCAGGGUCGUGCGCAUGGCGCAAUUCGUGACAAAAAAAAUCUAAAUAUUCCAUUACCGUACUUCGAAGCAUGUCAACCGCUGUUUAAAAUCCAUUUUUAUGCCAUUUUUCUCGUAAAAAAGCGAUAAUAUUCCGACCGGGAAUCUCCUUUUAGCUAAACAGAGGAAAGUAAACAGAGCUUUCGGUCGACGCGGGCACGAGCCUGAGUCUCAGAGUACUGUAACCAGCCACUACCCAAACGCGCUACUUUGUUUCAGCCAGAGCCUGCAAAGCCACGAUUCAGCUUUUUACCGCCUUCUGAGACCCUAUGGCAGCCGUAGGAAGUGUCACGGGACAGCUAAGAUCCUGACUCUUCAAUAAACAGAGACAAGAAGAACGACACCUUGUCAGACAGGCCACUUCCUGCCUGAAACCUUGUCAGGUUUUUGCCUGCCAAAUGAGUUCUGUUAUACUCACAGACACCAUUCAAACAGUUUUAGAAACUUUAGGGUGUUUUCUAUCCAUAUGUAAUAAGUAUAUGCAUAUUCUAGUUACUGGGUAGGAGUGGUAACCAGAUUAAAUCGGG